GCGGGAUUCGUUUAACGGUAGGACACUUGUUUUCCAAACAAGUAGCGGGAGUUCGACUCUCCCAUCCCGCA
rnacentral:tRNA from 1 species